AGAUUGAACGCUGGCGGCAUGCCUUACACAUGCAAGUCGAACGGCAGCACGGACUUCGGUCUGGUGGCGAGUGGCGAACGGGUGAGUAAUAUAUCGGAACGUACCCUGGAGUGGGGGAUAACGCAGCGAAAGUUGCGCUAAUACCGCAUACGAUCUACGGAUGAAAGUGGGGGCUCGCAAGACCUCAUGCUCGUGGAGCGGCCGAUAUCUGAUUAGCUAGUUGGUAGGUAAAAGCCUACCAAGGCCUCGAUCAGUAGCUGGUCUGAGAGGACGACCAGCCACACUGGGACUGAGACACGGCCCAGACUCCUACGGGAGGCAGCAGUGGGAAUUUUGGACAAGUGGGGGCAACCCGUGAUCCAGCAAUGCCGCGUGAGUGAAGAAGGCCUUCGGUUGUAAGCUCUUUGUCAGGAAGAAACGGUGAAGGCUAAUAUCCUUUGACUAAUGACGUACC
rnacentral:rRNA from 1 species